CCAUCUCUACUAAAAGUAUAAAAAUUAGUCAGGCAUAGUGGUUUGUGCCUGUAGCCUCAGCUACUCAGGAGGCUGAGGCAGGAGAAUCUCUUGAACCUGGGAGGCGGAGGUUGCCGUGAGGUGAGAUCGCACCACUGCACUGCAGCUUGGGCAACAGAGUAAGACUCCAUCUCAAAUAAAUAAAUAAGUAAAAAUAAAAAUGCUCAUCUGUGUAUCACUUAAAACUAUGUCUCUGAAACACAGCUCUAAUGCAUAAAGUUAUCUGAAGCCAGGGAUUCCUGCCUUAUCAUUCGGUUAACAGUAGCCAGAGCUGAGUGAGAAAUUUACGCCGUGUCAGUCACCAGAGGAAGUCCUCCCCGAAGCUCUAGAAAUAAGGUAUUUGCAUUGGCCCCAUUUUAGAGAUAAGGAAGCAGACUUAGGUAAAGGUCAUCUCACUAGUAAGUGGAAGUCAGAUUCAAGCCCGAGCUGUCUGAGUUCAGAGUCCACACAAUCAUCACUUUCUCCCACUUCUUGGGAAAAAACACAGGUGUUGAUACCACGGCUUGCCAAGGAAAAAGCAAGCAACCGUCCUGUUGAAGAAUGAAUUCAUUCAGUACUAAAUGCUAAAUUACAAUGUUGAAGACAGCUGGUAUGCUGUGGGCCUUUCUCUGUCCCUGAAAAUCCCAGCGGUCUGCAAAUCAAGAGAGAAAGUAGGCAGAAAAUUGAGCCAGAAGGACUCAUAUAUUGGAGACUCCAUGAGGAUGGAGAAAAUGCAGCAACUUGCCCGAAGUCCCAAAUCUGCUCUCUGUCUUCAAGAACUGAACAAGGAUUCAAUAUGGAUUAGUGAUUAAGAGCUUGGGCUAUGGAUUCAGAACAACCUGGGUUCAAGUCCUGGAUCUGCUCCUUACAAGCUGUGUGAGUUGAAACAUCAAUUUAAAAAUUGAGUGUUCAGGGCGUACCUGGAACAUUGCCAGUCUACGUGGUGGAUGAAAAAGACAGAUGGCAAACCACGUGCUGGAAGACAUGUGUCAACUCUGUCUACACGUCACUAGCCAACACAAGUCCCAUAGCCACUCCUGAAUUCAACAGUGCAGGAGUGGAUAGUAUUCCUCCAGAGUGGGGUAUUGAAAGGAAGAAAAUUGUAAUGUUUUAUCAUAGUGUAUAAUUUGCCAGCUAUUUAUUCUGAGCCCUACCACUCUGUAAACUUUCUGGCACAACGUAGGCACUUUUGAAUGAGAAUCUUAUUAUACUGUCAACUGUUCUAGGGGCCCCUUCUGCUCCCAGUUUGCCAUAAAGAGGCGUCAGACCCCAAAAGCCCAAUUGUGCCUUAUUUAGUUCAACAUCUGGAGAGGCUCAGCUGUCCCACAUAUUUGUUCCUAAAUCACUGAGUUGCUCACUGAAUUGGCUGCCGACCCACCUUUUCCAGACAGGAGAAGAGGAAAAACUUAUUUGCGAAGAAAAAGAGAAGGCUCCUCUUGGCCAGGCCAAGGCCUCCUUUGGAGAUGGGCCAUAACAAACAGAGAUUUGUAAUGACUAGGAUACCCUAAACCGAUAGUAAAAUGGAAAUCCACAGGAUCAACCCAGCAGAGGGACUGGGUAGUCGGAAGGCUGUCAUCGGCCGGUGGUGUGACCUCAGACAAACUCCUUUGCAGCUCUGUGCCUCAAUUUCUUCCUCUGUAAAAGGGAGGUGGUGGUGGUGGGGACAGUGACUCUCUCAAAGAGCAGAGAUGAGAGUAAAAUAUCAUAUCCAUGACCAAGUCACAAACUAUAAACACUAUUCCACAACAGUUUAACAAAAUGGUUAAAUCUAACAAAAAUAGGACAGGAUAUGCAAUAUAUCUGACUUUAACAAUAAUUUGGUAGUAAAUAUGGAAGGAGUUGAGGGCCCAAAACACAGAACAUAUUCCCAUUUCUUGGAGAUCUUCAGCAGAUCACAAAAAAGAGAAAGUUAGAUUACUUGGGUGUUCAAUUUGCUGGCAACCAUUUUAUGCUAUAAUUCAGCAUUAGUCAUGGCUGACUAAUUUUUUUCUCUAGAAAAUUAGAUGGAGCAUGUAAACACAAAGGCACAGCACAGCCUCCUGGAAAAAACCCCAAAUGCACUGAGUCUUCGGGCAAGACUGAGGGAUCAAAGGCCAGGUGGGCUGCCUGCUCUGCUGCUUCGGUGCCAUUUGGUAUCAUUUCCGUAUUUCACUCAGUUGGUGUUGCUCAAUUUCCACUCCCUCCAUCAUCAAAAAGUAUUUUUAGAGCCUUUCAUUACAGGAAAUCUUUGGCGUUGUUCUCAGGGCUGCUCAUAUAGGGGAACAUGUUUUCCAUUGUCAGUAUAUCCGUAAAUAAAGACUAGCAAAUGCAUCUUUACAUCUUGGAGGGCACAUUUACUCUUGUCUGAUGCUGCAUGGCAUACUGAACCAUGGGAGAGGACCAGAGCAAAGAUGUGAUGAGCUUUCUCACUAGUGUAAACAUGGCUCAGGGGUUGACCAAAUAGGUGGCUUCCUACAAACAUUUCCCUCACCCCAUGAGACCGGGGUAUGUGCUCCUGCUUUGUGUUCUGUGUCCAUCACUGUCCUUGGCCCAUUGUGUACCCUAUGGACUUAAUCAUGUAAGUGUUUGCCCUGUACUAGCCACUGUUUUAAGUUCUUUCAGUGUGUUAACUCAUGAGACUGUUACAACAAUCCCUUUUUUUCGGAUGGGAAAACUGAGUCACAGAGAGGUUGAGUAGCUUCCGUAAGGCUGCACAGCUAGGGCUACUCUAAGAAUUAAGUGAGUUAAUGUCUGCAAAGUGCUUUAUGCAGCGCCCAACACACUGUAAGUGCUCUACAAGUGUUUGUUAAGUAGAUAUGCAGAGUGUAGGCAAAGCCAUACUACUAAGGGGCUAAACAUGGUUGCACCCAGUGGGGGUGAAAAGGCCUGGUUUCCAG
rnacentral:lncRNA from 10 species